rnacentral:rRNA from 1 species
UACCAGCACCCCGAGUGGUCGGGACGUUUAUUGGGCCUAAAGCAUCCGUAGCCGGUUCUACAAGUCUUCCGUUAAAUCCACCUGCUUAACAGAUGGGCUGCGGAAGAUACUAUAGAGCUAGGAGGCGGGAGAGGCAAGCGGUACUCGAUGGGUAGGGGUAAAAUCCGUUGAUCCAUUGAAGACCACCAGCGGCGAAGGCGGCUUGCCAGAACGCGCUCGACGGUGAGGGAUGAAAGCUGGGGGAGCAAACCGG